rnacentral:tRNA from 1 species
AAAACUAUAGUAUAAUUUUUAUUAUAUCUCAUUGUCAAUGAGGAGAAUGUGGUUUUA